rnacentral:rRNA from 1 species
UACGUAGGGUCCUAGCGUUGUCCGGAAUUAUUGGGCGUAAAGAGCUCGUAGGCGGCGUGUCGCGUCGGAUGUGAAAGCCCGGGGCUUAACUCCGGGUCUGCAUUCGGUACGGGCAUGCUGGAGUUCGGUAGGGGAGACUGGAAUUCCUGGUGUAGCGGUGAAAUGCGCAGAUAUCAGGAGGAACACCGGUGGCGAAGGCAGCUCGCUGGGACGUUACUGACACUGAGGCGCGAAAGCGUGGGGAGCGAACAGG